rnacentral:snRNA from 1 species
ACGCUCACUUUGGCAGCACAUAUACUAAAAAUUGGAAAGAUACAGAGAAGAUUAGCAUGGCCCCUGUGCAAGGAUGAAGUUAGUGAANCAUUCUAUAUUUUU